UACGUAGGGGGCAAGCGUUGUCCGGAAUCAUUGGGCGUAAAGAGCGUGUAGGCGGUUUGGUAAGUCUCUUGUGAAAUCUAUGGGCUCAACUCAUAGUCUGCAAGGGAAACUGCCGGGCUUGAGUGUGGGAGAGGUGAGUGGAAUUUCCGGUGUAGCGGUGAAAUGCGUAGAUAUCGGAAGGAACACCUGUGGCGAAAGCGGCUCACUGGACCACAACUGACGCUGAUGCACGAAAGCUAGGGGAGCAAACAGG
rnacentral:rRNA from 1 species